rnacentral:rRNA from 1 species
UGGGGAAUUUUGCCACAAUGGGCGCAAGCCUGAUCCAGCCAUGCCGCGUGUCUGAAGAAGGCCUUCGGGUUGUAAAGGACUUUUGUCAGGGAAGAAAAGGCUGUUGCUAAUACCGACAGUUGAUGACGGUACCUGAAGAAUAAGCACCGGCUAACUACGUGCCAGCAGCCGCGGUAAUACGUAGGGUGCGAGCGUUAAUCGGAAUUACUGGGCGUAAAGCGAGCGCAGACGGUUACUUAAGCAGGAUGUGAAAUCCCCGGGCUCAACCUGGGAACUGCGUUCUGAACUGGGUGACUAGAGUGUGUCAGAGGGAGGUAGAAUUCCACGUGUAGCAGUGAAAUGCGUAGAGAUGUGGAGGAAUACCGAUGGCGAAGGCAGCCUCCUGGGAUAACACUGACGUUCAUGCUCGAAAGCGUGGGUAGCAAACAGGAUUAGAUACCCUGGUAGUCCACGCCCUAAACGAUGUCAAUUAGCUGUUGGGCAACUUGAUUGCUUAGUAGCGUAGCUAACGCGUGAAAUUGACCGCCUGGGGAGUACGGUCGCAAGAUUA